rnacentral:rRNA from 1 species
AAAGACUGGAAUGAAUGGCUAAACGAGGUUCUAUCUGUCUCUUACAAAUAAUCAGUGAAAUUGAUCUCCUCGUGCAAAAGCGAGAAUAUCCACAUAAGACGAGAAGACCCUGUGGAACUUUAAGUAUAAGUCACAAUAAUCAAUCAACUAUUCAACAGAAGACACCUUAUAAUACACCUGACUUAAAACUUUCGGUUGGGGCGACCUCGGAGAACAAUAAAACCUCCGAAAAUUACUACUAAGAUAACACAAACCUAAGUGUCUACGACAAAACGAUCCAAUAUACAUGAUCAACGAACCAAGCUACCCCAGGGAUAACAGCGCAAUCCCCUCUUAGAGUCCAUAUCAAUGACGGGGGU